rnacentral:rRNA from 1 species
UGGGAGGAACACUGGUUUGGUAAUGCUACCUUGGCUACCCAAUAUUGGGAUAUAUAUAGUUUAGCUAAUGAGCAUAAUGCCACCAUUGAUAAGAUUUGGGAUGGAAACACUCUUAGGCUCACCUUCAGAAGAUGUUUUACUCAGGAGCGGAUGACUCUGUGGUUUGAACUCCUGGAGAUUGUGAAUACUAUUCAACUCAAUGAUCAGGAGGAUACCCAGGUUUGGAAUAUGAACUCCAAAGGGGUAUACACUGUUAAAUCUUUCUACAAGUUUGUUAAUUUUAGGGGAGUGUUGCCAGUUAGCUCCCCUGCCAUUUGGAAUAUCAAGAUUCCC